GUGAUAUAUUAAUGGGGAAGGAAAGGAAGGAAGCCAUAUCGGUUGUUGGCAAAUGGAAGGACCGAGAUGUUUGAAGACGUCGGAGUGGACUUAUAAUCCAGUGCUGGAGAAGAAGCCUUGAUUGGGAUGAUGAGAGUGAGGAUGCAAAUGUUGAUGAUAUAACUAAUGCCAGUGAUGCAGAUUGUAUCAAGAAUGAAAAUAAUGGUGCCUGGUGGAAGCUGGAAUCUUCCGAUUCAAAAGCUACUUCAUAACAAUCGUGCUGAAGGCAGUUGGUGGUAGUAUGUUUGACAUAUUCUGUGACUAGGUAAAGUUCUCUUACAAUCUCUUGCUAGCAUUUCUGAAAGCUUGAAAUAAUUGUUGCUUGUACCAAACAUAGUUAUAUUUAUAUGGCUUCCCUUUUUUAACUUUAAAUGUUGCUGCUGAGAAUUAAAAAGAUUGUGUUUGGCUUUAUGGUAUCUUACAUAAAAUUUUGUCCCAGUUUUCCAUAAAUAAAUCUUGCAAAAUUAUGAUUAAAAAACUAGGAAAAUAGAAAGCAUAGUCUCUGAUAGGCUAGUGGAAGGCAACCUUUGCAGCUCAGGUUUAUUGGAAUCUUGAAUUAUAUAAUCCAAUCUUUCACUUGAAUAUUUCCUGCAACAAAAGGCACAGUUGAAGAAGCAAUGGCAGUGGCAGUGGCCAACGUGGUCAUGCUGCAUUUUCAUUUGAUGGACUUCACCAAAAAAAGGGGUGGCAGGGGGAAAAGAAGAGAUUCACAGGCAUGGUUUCUCUUUUUACUCUGUUUUAUUUUACUAAUGCACAAUGUUAGAGAGUAGAUUAUGUUGCAUGCUAUUGGAUUUGUGUUACUAGAAUAAUCAUAUCGUGUUAUAGAACAUUUGAGCAGUUACAAGUCACAACUUAGCUUCAGUGAAAUCUCUCACUCUUUUUGGGGAAAAUAUUUUGGCGCUGUAAGCUGUUGAUACCGCUAUGAAUGUGCUUAAUAUUGAAGUAGAGCAGAUAUGU
rnacentral:lncRNA from 1 species